UCCAACAGCUCCCUCAUGCUCGUGCGGUCACCUCCCUGCCCCUGCCCCAUCCUAUCAUGAUGUCGUUAGGUCGCCGUCGAGCGCGCUCGUGAUCUGCUACCCCUGUCGUCACCAUGUACGCUUGCCUGUGCUCUCCCGAGUCUUCUCGAGCUCGCUCGAGUUCUCCUACUCCCCCGUGAAGCCUCUGGACAUGCCUCCCCUCCCUCCCCGUGGCUCUGCUCGCGCCAGCGCGACGGCACACGCAUCACCACGGCUGAGCUCACCCCUGGCUCAGCUGAGCUAUAAAUAGGUCACCCCGCACUUCUUCGAGCUCCCCAGCAGCGUCCUCAUCCUCCCAGAACCCCGCCCAACCACUCCACCGAGCUCGAGGAGCCCCUGUUCCCCUCCAUUGCCACCAUGGCCGCCAGCAUCCUCCUCCUAAAUCCGCUCAACGCAGAGCUUCUCCCUCCACUAAACCACCACCAGAGGCCUCCACAACCACCCCGGAGCCAGCCUUGCACCUCUCCUACUCCUCCAAUGGCCUCUGCUCGCGACUCCUCCGGUGCCCGACGCCUUCCUCCGCCACGGCCGAAGCCCUCCUUGCUCCAGGGCUCUCCGGUGGGCGAGUUCCCUCCAUGCGGGUGCGGCCCUCUCCGCUGAGCGCUCCGGUGGUCCGAGCUCCACCGGAGCCGGCCGGGUGAGCGCCGGCAACCGCAGCCUCCCUCUGCUCCAUGGGCGAUCGAGAUGAAGACGACGACACCCCGCCCAGCUGGCCAGGCGGGCCCCGCCUCCCCCCUCGGCCCCACUUGUCGGCCUUUGGUUGUUGACCAGUAUGGGCCCAGGUGCAUAAGUGGAAGCGUACUCUGUCAGAUCCGUCUCCCCCUCUCAAAAGCGCACUUCGGUGUUAUUUAGGCAGGAAUGUAUUUUCCACCCCGGAAAGCGUAUUUCCUUUGUACUACGGCUGAAAGUGUGUUUUCCUUUGCACAAAGCGUGUUUUGACUGAAUGUGUUUUCAGUUUUUCCAGACAGGGACCUGUUGGUGAAGUUUCUUUUACAGAUUGGUCCCUAGACUUCAAACGUCCAUAUCUCCACGACGGUAGCUCCGAAUCAGGUGAAUCUAAAGCCCACAUCUUUGUCUCCUCAAGCCCAUUCUGCUGGUACCAUUUUCACUAUGUGUUCACAUACUGGAAAUGACCAUAUUACCCUUGCCCUUAUCUAGCCCCUCCGAGAGAGAACUGUUUCCGGCAAAUCUUUCCGCGAUCCUUGUGCACUUCUUCCCGGUGAGCUCUUCAUUCCCAAGCAAGCCACGACAGCCACUUGCAUAAUGGUCUUGCAGUAGCCAUGGUUUCCUACUUGAAAAUAAUAAAUUGUUUGUGCAUGUUAAUAUUUUAUGAAUCUUUACUCCUAUAAAAAUACGAGUUGAUGAUGAUGGUGUGUCUGCCUUCAGGCUAUAUAUACCGUCCGAUCUGAAAUAUAAGGUUGAGAUUGAGACUGAGACGUAUUGUGCCCAACCAACCUCCAAAACACUAAUAGUCCAGAUGUUUCUCCUUUUCUCCGGGAAACAGAUUAUUCUAGAACCCCUCCAAACCUCUAGACUAUUCAUGAUAUAUGCAAUUAUAUACUGAUUCACUACAAGCGUGAGAUUAUUAACAUUAACAAUUUAACAUGUAUAUAUGGACGUAUCAAAAGGAGGAAAUUCUAGCCACGAGUAGGAGUCGCCCUCCCACUUCUCAGGAAGAUGACAGUUUUCAGUCACUGCCUUAUUAUGUCAUAGUGGCUCAACUCAGCGACAUCCAUGACCGACACAAGAGGAGGGGGCUUGAAGUCCGGUGUUUGCUCCGUAGUGAAGCAUCAGUGACUAGAUUAUGCAUACACCGUGCAACCUACGGGCUCUUUUGCUAUCACUAUAUAAAGGGUCUCCAUGCUCCGUUUGCAGGUCAUGCCGUGUUUGCUUGACUGUCGAGGAUCCCGAGUUUGUGAGCUAGGAUAAGCGUUCCAGCCAGAGCCCCUGCGGAGUGAUAUCCAUCGCUUUCGUCGUCAUUCCGCUGCUAGAAGUUAUUCCGCUGCUAAGAGUUGUUCUACUGCUAGCAUAGAGCAACCUGAGCAGGCAUAGUGUCGCCAUGCGGACGUAAUUUGUUGUGAUAUCGAAACCCUUGUAUCUGUAUCAUUUGUAAUGAAAAGUUGAUUUGUUCUA